AAAAGGAAGACAAAAACAAAAGAUCAGUGCUGCUGAAAGCAAAAUGAAGUGUGAAAGUGGAAUAAAAUCUGUUGACGAAGAGACCAUUAUGUCUUUGCUUGCUGAAAAUCUAUCUAUAUGAAAAUCUAUGAGGGCUAUCUAUAAAUUGUAUAUAUUUAAAAAAAAAAAGUAAUGAACUGCACAUAGCAUAAGUGAGUAGUUAGAAUUGUACAUUUGAAAUAAAAUAAAUUUGUAUCAUUUAUAUGAA